GCCCAAAGUCGCACGUGCCUGUGGGUGUCCGCCGUCCCUCGAAUGGUGAGGGAAACGGUAAGGUACCUGGAACUAACCCCUCCAGUCGGUUUGCCGGCCAACCGCCAAAUCGAGGACAUCUUGAAGCAACGACGGUGCGGGCCUUU
rnacentral:sRNA from 1 species